rnacentral:rRNA from 1 species
GUGUCAGCAGCCGCGGUAAUACGUAGGGGGCAAGCGUUGUCCGGAAUCAUUGGGCGUAAAGCGCGUGUAGGCGGCUUGGUAAGUCCGGUGUGAAAUCCUGGGGCUCAACCCCAGGCCUGCAUCGGAUACUGCCUCGCUCGAGUUCGGGAGGGGAGAGCGGAAUUCCUAGUGUAGCGGUGAAAUGCGCAGAUAUUAGGAAGAACACCGGUGGCGAAGGCGGCUCUCUGGAACGAUACUGACGCUGAGACGCGAAAGCGUGGGGAGCGAACAGGAUUAGAUACCCUGGUAGUCCACGCCGUAAACGAUGGGCACUAGAUGUGGGCGGUGUCGACUCCGUCCGUGUCGCAGCUAACGCAUUAAGUGCCCCGCCUGGGGAGUACGGCCGCAAGGCUAAA